CUACGGGCGGCUGCAGUGGGGAAUAUUGCACAAUGGAGGAAACUCUGAUGCAGCCAUGCCGCGUGUGUGAAGAAGGCCCGAGGGUUGUAAAGCACUUUCAAUUGGGAGGAAGGUUAUGUAGCUAAUACCUGCAUAAUUUGACGUUACCUUUAGAAGAAGCACCGGCUAACUCUGUGCCAGCAGCCGCGGUAAUACAGAGGGUGCAAGCGUUAUUCGGAAUUACUGGGCGUAAAGCGCGCGUAGGCGGAUUGUUAAGUCAGAUGUGAAAGCCCUGGGCUCAACCUGGGAACGGCAUUUGAUACUGGCAGUCUAGAGUUUAAGAGAGGGAAGGGGAAUUUCUAGUGUAGCAGUGAAAUGCGUAGAUAUUAGAAGGAACAUCAGUGGCGAAGGCGCCUUCCUGGCUUAAAACUGACGCUGAGGUGCGAAAGCGUGGGUAGCGAACGGGAUUGAUACCCUAGUAGUC
rnacentral:rRNA from 1 species